UACGGAGGGUGCAAGCGUUGUUCGGAAUUACUGGGCGUAAAGCGCGUGUAGGCGGUUUGGUAAGUCAGAUGUGAAAGCCCUGAGCUCAACUCAGGAAGUGCAUUUGAAACUGCCAUACUCGAGUAUGGGAGAGGAGAGUGGAAUUCCCAGUGUAGAGGUGAAAUUCGUAGAUAUUGGGAGGAACACCCGUGGCGAAGGCGACUCUCUGGACCAAUACUGACGCUGAGACGCGAAAGCGUGGGGAGCAAAGAGG
rnacentral:rRNA from 1 species